CAAUAGCGUAUAUUAAAGUUGUUGCAGUUAGAACGCUCGUAGUCGGAUUUCGGGGCGGGCCGGCCGGUCUGCCGAUGGGUACGCACUGGUCGGCGCGUCCUUCCUUCCGGAGACCGUGCCUACUCUUAACUGAGCGGGGGCGGGAGACGGAUCGUUUACUUUGAAAAAAUCAGAGUGUUUCAAGCAGGCAGCUCGCUCUUGCAUGGAUUAGCAUGGGAUAAUGAAAUAGGACUUUGGUGCUAUUUUGUUGGUUUCGAACACCGAAGUAAUGAUUAAAAGGGACAGUCAGGGGCACUCGUAUUCCGCCGAGAGAGGUGAAAUUCUCAGACCAGCGGAAGACGAACUACUGCGAAAGCAUUUGCCAGGGAUGUUUUCACUGA
rnacentral:rRNA from 1 species